rnacentral:tRNA from 1 species
GGCGGAUGUGGCCAAGUGGAUCAAGGCAGUGGAUUGUGAAUCCACCAUGCGCGAAGGGCGAAUUCGCGGCCCGCUAAAUU